CACGGGGGGCCUACGGGAGGCAGCAGUAAGGAAUAUUGGUCAAUGGGCGGAAGCCUGAACCAGCCAUGCCGCGUGCAGGAUGACUGCCCUAUGGGUUGUAAACUGCUUUUGUCCAGGAAUAAACCCAGAUACGAGUAUCUGGCGGAAUUAC
rnacentral:rRNA from 1 species